rnacentral:rRNA from 1 species
UGAGGAAUAUUGCGCAAUGGGCGAAAGCCUGACGCAGCGACGCCGCGUGGGGGAUGAAGGUCUUCGGAUUGUAAACCCCUUUCAGGAGGAAAGAUGGGGUGGGCAACCACCCGGACGGUACCUCCAGAAGAAGCCACGGCUAACUUCGUGCCAGCAGCCGCGGUAAUACGAAGGUGGCGAGCGUUGUUCGGAUUUACUGGGCGUAAAGAGCACGUAGGCGGUUGGGUAAGCCCCUUGGGAAAGCUCCCGGCUUAACCGGGAAAGGUCGAGGGGAACUGCCUAGCUAGAGGACGGGAGAGGAGCGCGGAAUUCUCGGUGUAGCGGUGAAAUGCGUAGAUAUCGGGAAGAAGGCCGGUGGCGAAGGCGGCGCUCUGGAACGUACCUGACGCUGAGGUGCGAAAGCGUGGGGAGCAAACAGGAUUAGAUACCCCCGUAGUCC